ACGCUCUGACAUAGGUAGAGCUAUUUAGUAUUUACUCGGAUUACCUGCGUCGAGCAAUAAAGUCAUCAUUGAAUGUCACACAUUUAUUGCAUCAUGGAUGAUGUAAAUAACCGCUUUUUAAUCACAGUAACUACCUAUAAAAAGGGUAACCGUUUGCAGGUUUUUUGCUAGGUACCUAAUAAUUGUCGUACGAUGUUUACGUGUCGUUGAUAAGAUAAGCGCAAAGUCCGAAAACAAAUGUUGAGAUUGCUCUUUUAGAUAACAUCAGGCGAGAAUACGUUAGGUACCUAUCGCAAUGAUUCCUUUAUGUAGAUAAAUAGGUGUACCUACGCACACAUAGGUAGAUAUCUACUUACUGUCGGAAGAAAAAAUGUUCUACUUAAUUACUUCCUCACCUCAACAAGUUAUCAUCACAUCCUGUUUACUAAGCUGCUAAAAGUGGAAUCAUGGAUACCAGGUCAGACCCCUUAGCGCUCAACAUUUGUCCGGCCAAGUAAUUAAUGCCAAUACCAUCUGAAGUAAGCAUUAGGCACAUAAAAGGAAAGAAACCUUAUAGGUAUGUAUUUAUUUUGAUUUAGCAGAACAAAACAAACAUAAUACCAUCUCUGCAAUUCUCUUUCAUAACGUAGGCACGUAACUGCGAUUAAAAAUACCUUAUCAAAUCCGCGCGAUGACAAACUCCCGCGUUCCGCUCUGGGGGCCUACCGGCUAAUUCGCCGAACUUCGGCGACUUGAAAACGAUUCAGAUAAAUCGAAGUUCGGCGUUUGGUACCGGGUAAUUUCCGAUGUUCAUUGCAAUCGGGAUGAAAAUCAAUCCAUAGAUAAUAAUAGACAUGUUAGAGGGGUGCAUGAUUGAACGAAUGACUUUUGGUCUUGCGUUCCGUUGAGACAUUUGGUAAACAUUUAAUAUUUUAUAUCAUUAUGAAAUUAAAAAAUACAGACUAGUUUUGUAUGUUAUUUUUAUUAAUUGAUAAUAUUUUUAGUUAAUCACUUUGUAAAGUCUUACAAAUGUUUAAAACAAAAGGAAAAUGCAACGACGGAUUUUUCUUUUGCAACUGAAGUAAUGAAACGCAAAAAAAAAAGAAAAAUGACGUUAUGUUAUAUCAGCUGACAUACUUGAAUUCGCGCCGAAUGCAACAGUUUUAUCUUCUCAGAAUUUAUACAAUAACAACAAUAACGAAAGAAAUAUCACCGAUUUACUACCUACUAGAUCUAGAGAGUCGGAGGCUAGACAUGGAGGAGCGACUUGUUUCAGCAUUUAACAAGCUGGCUGGCGACAGCUGCUGAAGCUAAUAGCAAGGCCGCGGAUAUGCAAACAGAGUUGCUUCGGCUGCUGCUGGAGGAAGUUAGGUGAAGACCAAUAUAAGGUUAAAGAAUAGCAGCAUGAGGAUUCUCAAGAACGAAGACACUAGAGAAACUAAGUUAAAAUACUUAAGUAAAAACAUAUGUAUUCAAUAAACUUGUAUGUAAAUAUUUAAGCUAAAGUAUAAGUACUCCAUUUAUGUUAUUUAAGUGAAGUUGUAUUUAAUUAAAAUAUGUACUUAAGUUUGGUCAUGUUAUUUAAGUGAGUUUGUCUAGGGGUAUCAUUAAAGUACAUUAAAGACAAAGCAACUAGAUAUCAUUUUUCCAAGAACUAUUUUGAAACAAAAAUAAUAUAGCAUCACGCUUCUAUUCCCGAAGGGGUAGGCAGAGGUGUAUAGUAUAUGUAUACACCCACUCCUAUAUUUAAUUUAAAUACUUAAGUUUGGUCAUGUUAUUUAAGUGAGUUUGUUUAGGGGUAACAUUAAAGACAAAGCAACUAGAUAUCAUUUUACCAAGAACUAUUUUGAAACAAAAAUAAUAUAGCAUCACGCUUCUAUUCCCGAAGGGGUAGGCAGAGGUGUAUAGUAUAUUUAUACACCCACUCCUUGCCAACUACUAUCUAAUAAAAAGAUUUGUAUAGGUGUAUUGAUGAAGAUGUUGGAUGCAAUUAACUUAUAUUUCCAUAUUAUAGUAAGAAUUGGGAACAAUAUUAUAUUUGUGGUAUGUUCUAAUUGAUUACAUUUCUUUGAUCCACCCGCAGGGCUUUUUUGAUUAUACUAUUACACAUUACAAAUAGUCUAGUCCCCAUAAGGCCCCGCAAGCUUGUAUUUAUACAAAAUAAAUGGAUUUAUUUAUUACAAAUUAAAGAUAGAUGGAUAAACUACUUUAUUAAGCACAAUGGACACAAGAUUAGAAAAAUGUAUCUACUUGAGAGAUAGGUUGGUUAAUGAGAGGGGUGCAAUGAAACAAAUUAUGUAAUAACACAAAAUAAAUAAAUCUGCGUAAUGAAAAUAGUUUAUUUGAUGCCAAUAAAGAAAGGUUUGUUUA